rnacentral:rRNA from 1 species
GACAGAGGGGGCUAGCGUUGUUCGGAAUUACUGGGCGUAAAGCGCGCGUAGGUGGUUGUGUAAGUCAGAUGUGAAAUCCCAGAGCUUAACUUUGGAACUGCAUUUGAAACUACAUAGCUAGAGACCGGUAGAGGUUGGUGGAAUUCCUAGUGUAGAGGUGAAAUUCGUAGAUAUUAGGAAGAAUAUCAAUGGCGAAGGCAGCCAACUGGGCCGGUACUGACACUGAUGCGCGAAAGCGUGGGGAGCAAACAGG